GCGAUUUGGCAAGUGAUGAAAUUUAUUUGGCCGGCGGUUAAAGCUUUGAUUGUCAGCACUUGGGAAAAUAUCAAAGGUGUAAUACAAGGGGCUAUUAAUAUUAUUUUGGGUAUUAUCAAAGUGUUCUCUAGUCUUUUCACAGGAAACUGGCGAGGCGUUUGGGACGGCAUUGUAAUGAUACUGAAAGGUACUGUGCAGUUAAUUUGGAAUUUAAUACAACUGUGGUU
rnacentral:sRNA from 1 species